ACGUAGGGGGCGAGCGUUGUCCGAAGUUACUGGGCGUAAAGCGCGUGUAGGCGGCCCUUUAAGUGACUGGUGAAAUCCCCGGGCUCAACUCGGGAGUGUCUGGUCAUACUGGGGGGCUAGAGUGCGGGAGAGGUGAGCGGAACUCCUGGUGUAGCGGUGAUAUGCGUAGAGAUCAGGAAGAACACCCGUAGCGAAGGCGGCUCACUGGACCGUAACUGACGCUGAGACGCGAAAGCCAGGGGAGCGAACGG
rnacentral:rRNA from 1 species